rnacentral:rRNA from 1 species
CGGCGUGCCUAAUACAUGCAAGUCGAGCGAAUCUGAGGGAGCUUGCUCCCAAAGAUUAGCGGCGGACGGGUGAGUAACACGUGGGCAACCUGCCUGUAAGACUGGGAUAACUUCGGGAAACCGGAGCUAAUACCGGAUAAUCCUUUUCUACUCAUGUAGAAAAGCUGAAAGAUGGCUUCGGCUAUCACUUACAGAUGGGCCCGCGGCGCAUUAGCUAGUUGGUGAGGUAACGGCUCACCAAGGCGACGAUGCGUAGCCGACCUGAGAGGGUGAUCGGCCACACUGGGACUGAGACACGGCCCAGACUCCUACGGGAGGCAGCAGUAGGGAAUCUUCCGCAAUGGACGAAAGUCUGACGGAGCAACGCCGCGUGAGUGAUGAAGGUUUUCGGAUCGUAAAACUCUGUUGUUAGGGAAGAACAAGUACCGUUCGAAUAGGGCGGUACCUUGACGGUACCUAACCAGAAAGCCACGGCUAACUACGUGCCAGCAGCCGCGGUAAUACGUAGGUGGCAAGCGUUGUCCGGAAUUAUUGGGCGUAAAGCGCGCGCAGGUGGUUUCUUAAGUCUGAUGUGAAAGCCCCCGGCUCAACCGGGGAGGGUCAUUGGAAACUGGGAGACUUGAGUGCAGAAGAGGAAAGUGGAAUUCCAAGUGUAGCGGUGAAAUGCGUAGAGAUUUGGAGGAACACCAGUGGCGAAGGCGACUUUCUGGUCUGUAACUGACACUGAGGCGCGAAAGCGUGGGGAGCGAACAGGAUUAGAUACCCUGGUAGUCCACGCCGUAAACGAUGAGUGCUAAGUGUUAGAGGGUUUCCGCCCUUUAGUGCUGCAGCAAACGCAUUAAGCACUCCGCCUGGGGAGUACGGCCGCAAGGCUGAAACUCAAAGGAAUUGACGGGGGCCCGCACAAGCGGUGGAGCAUGUGGUUUAAUUCGAAGCAACGCGAAGAACCUUACCAGGUCUUGACAUCCUCUGACAAUCCUAGAGAUAGGACGUUCCCCUUCGGGGGACAGAGUGACAGGUGGUGCAUGGUUGUCGUCAGCUCGUGUCGUGAGAUGUUGGGUUAAGUCCCGCAACGAGCGCAACCCUUGAUCUUAGUUGCCAGCAUUCAGUUGGGCACUCUAAGGUGACUGCCGGUGACAAACCGGAGGAAGGUGGGGAUGACGUCAAAUCAUCAUGCCCCUUAUGACCUGGGCUACACACGUGCUACAAUGGAUGGUACAAAGGGCUGCAAGACCGCGAGGUUUAGCCAAUCCCAUAAAACCAUUCUCAGUUCGGAUUGCAGGCUGCAACUCGCCUGCAUGAAGCCGGAAUCGCUAGUAAUCGCGGAUCAGCAUGCCGCGGUGAAUACGUUCCCGGGCCUUGUACACACCGCCCGUCACACCACGAGAGUUUGUAACACCCGAAGUCGGUGGGGUAACCGCAAG